UUUCCGUAGGUGAACCUGCGGAAGGAUCAUUAUUGUAUAACCGAGGUGCGAGGGCUGUCGCUGACCCGAAAGGUCGUGCACGCCCGAGUGCCCUCACACACAUCCAUCUCACCCCUAUGUGCACCACCGCGUGGGUCCCCCUUUGGCUUGUUCGGAGGGGGGCUUACGUGUUCACACAAACUUUGUAUGCAGUGUAUAAUGUAUUUUUUGUUUUUGCGAUCACGCAAUCAAUACAACUUUCAACAACGGAUCUCUUGGGUCUC
rnacentral:misc_RNA from 1 species